CAGUAGCCACGGGAAUACGGAGGGUGCAAGCGUUAAUCGGAAUUACUGGGCGUAAAGCGUGCGUAGGCGGUUCGUUAAGUCUGCUGUGAAAGCCCCGGGCUCAACCUGGGAAUGGCAAUGGAUACUGGCGAGCUAGAGUGUGUCAGAGGAUGGUGGAAUUCCCGGUGUAGCGGUGAAAUGCGUAGAGAUCGGGAGGAACAUCAGUGGCGAAGGCGGCCAUCUGGGACAACACUGACGCUGAGGCACGAAAGCGUGGGGAGCAAACAGGAUUAGAUACCCCCGUAGUCCCUGUCUCUUAUAC
rnacentral:rRNA from 1 species